rnacentral:rRNA from 1 species
UACGUAGGGUGCAAGCGUUAAUCGGAAUUACUGGGCGUAAAGCGUGCGCAGGCGGUUUCGCAAGUCAGAUGUGAAAGCCCCGGGCGUUAACCUGGGAACUGCAUUUGAAACUACGAGGCUAGAGUGUGUCAGAGGGGGGUAGGAAUUCCACGUGUAGCAGUGAAAUGCGUAGAUAUGCGGAGGAACACCAAUGGCGAAGGCAAUCCCCUGGGCCUGCACUGACUCUCAUGCACGAAAGCGUGGGGAGCAAACAGGAUUAGAUACCCCAGUAGU